UACGUAGGGGGCUAGCGUUGUCCGGAAUUAUUGGGCGUAAAGCGCGUGUAGGCGGCCAGAAAAGUCCGCUGUGAAAACUCGAGGCUCAACUUUCGAGCUGUCGGUGGAAACUUUCUGGCUAGAGUCCGGAAGAGGAGAAUGGAAUUCCUGGUGUAGCGGUGAAAUGCGCAGAUAUCAGGAAGAACACCCCGUGGCGAAGGCGGUUCUCUGGGACGGUACUGACGCUGAGACGCGAAAGCGUGGGGAGCGAACAGG
rnacentral:rRNA from 1 species